rnacentral:rRNA from 1 species
UACGGGGGGGGCAAGCGUUGUUCGGAAUUACUGGGCGUAAAGGGCGCGUAGGCGGGCUGGCAAGUCUGUCGUGAAAGCCCGCGGCUCAACCAGGGAAUUGCGGUCGAUACUGUCUGGCUAGAGUCCGGGAGAGGAAGGGGGAAUUCCCGGUGUAGAAGUGAAAUGCGUAGAUAUUGGGAGGAACACCAGCGGCGAAGGCGGCCCUCUGGACGGGGACUGACGCUGAGACGCGAAAGCGUGGGGAGCAACCAGG